GACGUAGGGGGCGAGCGUUGUCCGGAUUUAUUGGGCGUAAAGCGCUCGCAGGUGGUUCGUCGCGUCGUGCGUGAAAGACCCCGGCUCAACUGGGGAGUGUCGUGCGAUACGGGCGGACUGGAGGCCAGUAGGGGGAUGCGGAAUUCCGGGUGUAGUGGUGGAAUGCGUAGAGAUCCGGAGGAACACCAGCGGCGAAGGCGGCAUCCUGGACUGGUCCUGACACUCAGGAGCGAAAGCGUGGGGAGCGAUCCGG
rnacentral:rRNA from 1 species